GUAACUCUUACAUGACAGCCAUGUUGCCUACCGACCUGCAUGACACACCUGCAUCUUCCGUGUGGUCACAAUUGUGCUGCUUCCACAUGUUAUGAGGACACUCCUCCAGAGAGAGCUCAUUGCCUGUACACUGCACGCCAUCCAGCCAGAUGGGACCAACACCCUGGCCAAAGCGGGCCCAGGUCCACGCCUUGGCCACUCCUCUGUCAGUCAGAACAAACAGAGUCACAACCUCGCCCAACAGUUCAACUGUCGGCAC